rnacentral:lncRNA from 1 species
GAUACUGCUGGUCAGCAAGUAACAUUUUGAAUAGCAAGGCUCUGAGCAGCAGAGGCCAUAGAACCAAGCUGAGAACAGACUGAGGACUUCUUCCGGCUUUGUUCCCUGCAAACAUCUUCAGGGGAAGAGCCUGUGCUCUUUGCCUUGUUCAAGGAAGUAACUAGCAGACUGGAAUCAGCCCAGUGAGAGUCAAAAAGUGCCCAGGAGACCAUAUCCACCUGGCCAGCUGCCACAGGCUCUUCAACCCUACCGAGGAUGGGAUCCAUCAUGCCUUCCUCCUCACUGUGGCCCAGGACUUAUUCCGCUACCUCUUCCUCCUGGUCCACCAGGGCGCAUUCCUCCUCCUCCUCCCUUUGGCCCAGGGCGCAUUCCAUUUCAACCCCUUCCACAGGGACCCAUUAAACAAGCUAAACCCUUUCCAGGUUACCCAGAACCACCUUUCCAACAAAGACCUUACCCUCCAGGACCUCCUCAGGUGCCAAAAGGCCAACUUCCCUUUAUUCCUUUUUGCCCUCCUUGCCCCACCCCUACAACCCUAUGUGAAACAACCACCACAGCUACAACCACAAGCACUACCGUUACAGAACCCACCACCAUACCACGAAAGAAACCACUACUUCCACAGAACUCACUACCACAACAGCAACCACCACCACUUGCACUGAACCUUCCACCACCCCAGCAGCCAUCACUUCCACUGAACCCACCACCACAGCACCCACCACCAGCACUUCCAUAGAACCCAUUGUCACCACAACAGAAGCCACCACUUCCUCAACAGCACCGACUUAUUCAGCAACAGAACCCAGCACCACCACA